rnacentral:rRNA from 1 species
AUUGAACGCUGGCGGCAGGCCUAACACAUGCAAGUCGAACGAGUGGCGGACGGGUGAGUAAUGUCUGGGAAACUGCCCGAUGGAGGGGGAUAACUACUGGAAACGGUAGCUAAUACCGCAUACCAUCGGAUGUGCCCAGAUGUGAUUAGCUAGUAGGUGGGGUAACGGCUAACCUAGGCGACGAUCCAUAGCUGGUCUGAGCGGAUGACCAGCCACACUGGAACUGAGACACGGUCCAGACGCCUACGGGAGGCAGCAGUGGGGAAAAUUGCACAAUGGGUGCAAGCCUGAUGCAGCCAUGCAGCGUGUAUGAAGAAGGCCCUCGGGUUGUAAAGUACUUUCAGCGAGGAGGCGGUACUCGCAGAAGAAGCACCGGCUAACUCCGUGCCAGCAGCCGCGGUAAUUC